rnacentral:lncRNA from 1 species
GAUAGAACAAUCCCUAUCACUUUCUUUUCUCACCCCCUCUCUUAAUUCUCUGCCCCCCUCUUGUUCAGCAGAUCUCUAUGGGACCACCCCAGGGUAAAAGGCCUGCGGUCUGUAAGAGGGUGUUCCAUAAGGCCAUGAGUUGCCUCGCUGGGUUUUAUGGUCAAAAAGGGCCCCAUGCCAAGACCUCUUCUAUUCCUUUCACAAGCACAGCAAUCUGCACACCAGAUGAAUGAGUUACUUAACCAGCAGCAGGGAGAGGAAGAGAAGCUGAAGAAGGGAUGUCCUUGUUCUCCACAGUCUUCCAGCUUCCCAGAACAGUGAGGAACCUACAAUACUAGGAAAACAACAAGACCUUGAUGUUUUUCCAAUAAUUGGCAGUGGAGGUCGAUUCUCCCCCUUCUUCCUGCUUCUUUUAAGAGAUGAAUCGCUGGCGGCCGAUCAAAGCCGGAGCCCUGUACGGCUGCAGCCGGCACAAAGGGGCGUCAGGGCUGGAACAUCGCCCAAGUCACCCGCUACUGCCACGCAGAUGGGCAACAUCGCUUCAGGGGUCAGCGUCGGAGUGGUGGAACACUCAUUUCCUGUGCCAUUCUCUGUUUUCACUCUCUUUCUUUCACUCUAUGAUCAGCCACAACAUUAAAACCACCUGCCUAAUCUUGCACAGGUCCACAAUUGGCCCUCUUGUGGAGGCCGGGUUAACGGCUGUAAAGAAGCACCAUGUUCUCUCGGUGUCUCGCCAAACAUCCUCUGGUUUCUUUUUUCUAGGCUAACUGUGAGGAGUCAUCAGAUCAAUCUCUCUAGAAGGAUCCCUCAUGACCCGAGAUUUGUCAUCCAGCACCACAGACCUUUAUUUACCCUUCACACAGGAGAAUGGAUGAAGGAGAUGACAGCAGACCAAAAAGAAAUGGCUAACUGUGAGGAGUCAUCAGAUCAAUCUCUCUAGAAGGAUCCCUCAUGGACCAAGAUUUGUCAUCCAGCACCACAGACCUUUAUUUACCCUUCACACAGGAGAAUAGAUGAAGGAGAUGAGAGGAUGAGGAAGCAGACCAAAGGUAUGCAAAUAUGGUAAGCAAAAACUGUUGUCAGGGUUUUAAUCAGUCAGUGGCGUGUUUUUCGUGGC